AUAACACUGGGGUAGGAUAGCUCGAGUACAAUCAAGAACUAAAAAAGUUUUAAAGCAAGACUAGGAACCACCUCCUUGGCUAGCCCAAU
rnacentral:misc_RNA from 1 species